rnacentral:lncRNA from 1 species
GGUUCCCAAACAUAAUUAUUGGAUGAAUGAAUGAACAAGAAGAUGACUAUGGAGGAUACUUGGGAUCUGGCUAGCAACAAGUAUAUUUCCCAUUGUUAGAGGUAGUUGGGUCAGAAAUUAGAUCAGUGCUUCUCAGCAUUUCUCUGUUCAAUGCAUACUUUUUGGUGGCACCCAUAAAGAAAUCAAAAGGGGAAUAUCCCUUUUUAGCAAGAAGUAUUUAGAAAAUCUAAAAGAACUCUUCCUCCUAUUCAUUGGGUCACUUUUCAGCCCUGCAUCACUGUUUACAGAAAAGUGUUAACAUCUUGGACUCGUGAAGCAAUGUUUUCACACAUUCUAGAAGACAGCUUGCUGGAAGGGUUCUGUGGAGGUCUCCCACCUGUGGAAGAAGGUGAUAGAAAAAUUAGCCUGAUAAUGGAACUGUCAACCCAGGUUUCCCUUCAGACUGAGAGAAUUACUCAGCUGAAAGAAGUUUUGGAGGAAAAGGAAAGGAAGAUUCAGCAGCUGGAAGCUGAGCGGAGUCCCCAUCCUCCCCAAGAGGUCAAGGACCCUCCAGGAUGUUUACCAGAAGCCCCAGUUUUCUCUACUCAUGACAUCCCACCUGUGGUCUCUGAUGAGAAUUUGUAGAUUCCCAAUAAGAAAACAAUAAAAGUUUAUUAAGUGUCA